AUCCAGCUGACGAGUCUCAAAUAAGAUGAAGCGCGUCCUGGAU
rnacentral:hammerhead_ribozyme from 1 species